GACGAACGCUGGCGGCGUGCUUAACACAUGCAAGUCGAACGAUGAAGCCGGAGCUUGCUCUGGUGAAUUAGUGGCGAACGGGUGAGUAACACGUGAGUAACCUGCCCUUGACUCUGGGAUAACUGCGGGAAACUGUAGCUAAUACCGGAUACGACCCUCGGAGGCAUCUCCUGGGGGUGGAAAGAAUUUCGGUCAAGGAUGGACUCGCGGCCUAUCAGCUAGUUGGGGAGGUAAAGGCUCACCAAGGCGACGACGGGUAGCCGGCCUGGGAGGGUGACCGGCCACACUGGGACGGAGACACGGCCCAGACUCCUACGGGAGGCAGCAGUGGGGAAUAUUGCACAAUGGGCGCAAGCCUGAUGCAGCAACGCCGCGUGAGGGAUGACGGCCUUCGGGUUGUAAACCUCUUUUAGCAGGGAAGAAGCGAAAGUGACGGUACCUGCAGAAAAAGCACCGGCUAACUACGUGCCAGCCGCCGCGGUAACAC
rnacentral:rRNA from 1 species